rnacentral:rRNA from 1 species
CAUGCAAGUCGAGCGGUAACAGACAUAAAGAUUCAGCUUGCUGAAUCCGGUGCUGACGAGCGGCGAACGGGUGAGUAACGCGUAGGAAUCUACCCAGUAGCGGGGGAUAGCCCGAGGAAACUCGGAUUAAUACCGCAUACGCCCCGAGGGGGAAAGGGGGCAGUUUACUGCUCUCACUAUUGGAUGAGCCUGCGUAAGAUUAGCUUGUUGGUAGGGUAAUGGCCUACCAAGGCGACGAUCUUUAGCUGGUCUGAGAGGACGAUCAGCCACAUUGGGACUGAGACACGGCCCAGACAUCUACGGAUGGCAGCAGUUAAGAAUAUUGGACAAUGGGGGCAACCCUGAUCCAGGUAUACCGCGUGUGUGAAGAAGGCCCUAGGGUUGUAAAGCACUUUAAUCAGAGAAGAAGCAUUUUAAGUUAAUACCUUAUUAUGUUGACGUUACCUGAAGAAUAAGGACCGGCUAACUCCGUGCCAGCAGCCGCGGUAAUACGGAGGGUCCAAGCGUUAAUCGGAAUUACUGGGCGUAAAGCGCGCGUAGGCGGUUUAGCAAGUUGUAUGUGAAAGCCCUGGGCUCAACCUAGGAACUGCAUCCAAAACUACUAAGCUAGAGUACGAGAGAGGAGAGUAGAAUUUCUGGUGUAGCGGUGAAAUGCGUAGAUAUCAGAAGGAAUACCAAUGGCGAAGGCAGCUCUCUGGCUCGUCACUGACGCUGAGGUGCGAAAGCGUGGGUAGCAAACAGGAUUAGAUACCCUGGUAGUCCACGCCGUAAACGAUGACAACUAGCCGUUGGGCAGAUUUAACUGUUCAGUGGCACAGCUAACGCAUUAAGUUGUCCGCCUGGGGAGUACGGCC